GAGUUGGUAGCUCAGUGGUGGAGUGCAUGCUUUUUGUGUAUGAUGUCCUGGGUUCCAUCCCCAGCAAAAUGA
rnacentral:tRNA from 1 species